ACACCAUAGUAUUUAUUUAUUUAUUUAUGUAAGUGAACAGCAGACAGUAGUAUUUGUAACUAAUCUGUUAUGUGAAGACUGCACGCAUGCAAAACUUGAGGAACCAGCAACUGCUCACUGCAUCUGCCAUUCCUGCCUCUGGUCCCAUUGCCUGCAGAAGUCGGAAGGCAGUUUUAAUGUCAGAGAUUAUGAUGGUUUCAGGCAAUAAAAAUAAAAAUCCCAAAAUCAAAAUCUGUCAUUAGAGAGAGAAAAGCAGAGCCCCCACAAAAAUCAGCACGUAUGUAAUACUACAGUUAUUAUGCAUAGCCAGUUAUGCAUGGCCAAGUAUUCUGCACAGAACAAAUGAGUUUACUGAGACACUUGGGGUCAUAUUAGUUUUUACUUCAGCCAAUGUGAUUUUUUAAUUAUUAUUUUGCAUAUGUAGCAUUAGUACUUAAAUCUGAAAACUUGCAUUAAGUCCCUGGGAAGGUUGAUCUUUGUGUGUGUGCGUAUGUGGGAAAUAAAGGCUUAAGAGGUUGGAGCCCCAUUUUGCUGAACAGAACAUCUUUGUGAUGUGACCGUUUGCCCAGGCAGCAUGUGACAAUGGCAAGAGACCGAAAUCUUCAAGUGUUUGUCUGGAAGUGCCAGUUGCCCUUCUUGCCUACUGCCCUGCUCUGCCGCAGUGCUACUGAGGGGAGAAAUUCCUGCGCGGUACCGUGUUUGAGCCAUGCUGGUGUUAUUCAGGAACAAGAUUCAGUUAGAAAUAAAACGUAG
rnacentral:lncRNA from 1 species